GACGAACGCUGGCGGCGUGCCUAAUACAUGCAAGUUGAGCGCUGAAGGUUGGUACUUGUACCAACUGGAUGAGCAGCGAACGGGUGAGUAACGCGUGGGGAAUCUGCCUUUGAGCGGGGGACAACAUUUGGAAACGAAUGCUAAUACCGCAUAAAAACUUUAAACACAAGUUUUAAGUUUGAAAUAUGCAAUUUCAUCACUCAAAGAUGAUCCCGCGUUGUAUUAGCUAGUUGGUGAGGUAAAGGCUCACCAAGGCGAUGAUACAUAGCCGACCUGAGAGGGUGAGCGGCCACAUUGGGACUGAGACAGGGCCCAAAGUCAUACGGGAGGCAGCAGUAGGGAAUCGUCGGCAAUGGACGAAAGUCUGACCGAGCAACGCCGCGUGAGUGAAGAAGGUUUUCGGAUCGUAAAACUCUGUUGGUAGAGAAGAACGUUGGUGAGAGUGGAAAGCUCAGCAAGUGACGGUAACUACCCAGAAAGGGACGGCUAACUACGUG
rnacentral:rRNA from 1 species